UCCUGGUUAACCCAGGCAGUCUCGCUAGAGUUCCCGCCAUUACGCGUUGGCAACUAGCAAUAAGGGUUGCGCUCGUUGCGGGACUUAACCCAACACCUCACGGCACGAGCUGACGACAGCCAUGCAGCACCUGUGCAGAGGCCCCGAAGGGAAAUAACAUUUCUGCUAUCGUCCUCUGCAUGUCAAGCCUGGGUAAGGUUCUUCGCGUUGCAUCGAAUUAAACCACAUGCUCCACUGCUUGUGCGGGUCCCCGUCAAUUCUUUUGAGUUUCACCCUUGCGAGCGUACUCCCCAGGCGGCAUACUUAAUACGUUAGUUGCGGCACAACCAGGGUUGAGUCCGGUUACGCCUAGUAUGCAUCGUUUACGGCAAGGACUAC
rnacentral:misc_RNA from 1 species